rnacentral:ncRNA from 1 species
AGAACUUAUAUCUUGAGUUGUAAAAUGAUAGAGUAACGUCUUGAAGUGCACCUCUAAUACUCCGAUUAGCAGAUAAAGCUAUGAUAAUUAGCCUAAUGUUAAAAGCUCGGUGAAGUCAGCUGAGAACUACCGUAAUUAUACGAAAGUCGUUUAGAGGUAAAUGAUGUAGUCUAUAGGCUGGGAGUCCAUAAA